UAAAAGCUACCCUGGGGAUAACAGGCUUAUCUCCCCCAAGAGUCCACAUCGACGGGGAGGUUUGGCACCUCGAUGUCGGCUCAUCACAUCCUGGGGCUGUAGUAGGUCCCAAGGGUUGGGCUGUUCGUCCAUUAAAGUGGUACGCGAGCUGGGUUCAGAACGUCGUGAGACAGUUCGGUCCCUAUCCGUCGCAGGCGUAGGAAAUUUGAGAAGACCUGUCCUUAGUACGAGAGGACCGGGAUGGACGUACCUCUGGUGUACCAGUUGUUCUGCCAAGGGCAUGGCUGGGUAGCUAUGUACGGAAUGGAUAAGCGCUGAAAGCAUCUAAGCGCGAAGCCAACUUCAAGAUAAGAUUUCCCACCG
rnacentral:rRNA from 1 species